UGGUUUUUUCACUGCGAUCAAGACGCAUUCGAUGAUCCAAACUGUAAGCAUUGCAAUAAAUCUGUUACUGGUCUGAUUCGAAUUCUUCGCCGAAGGGAUUUUCAUUGAUUCGGCUAAGAGAUUCACAAUUGGACCUGAUUCCAAACGUGGCCUUGCUCUCUUCUCGACGAUUGCUUGAUUGAGAAGACAAAAGGUCCUAACCUCCCUCAUCUCUCAACCCUCCUUCAUGGUGCUUCAUAUCUAUGCUGAGGUAUGAAGGGCAGAAAAAUUGUUUUGGGUAGAUAACUUUUUCUCUUCUAGUUGAACUUGAAUCACUUCUUUCGUAAGGAUAGGAGUACACAGGUUCUGACAAUGUGGCAGUGAAGUUUGUAAAGAUUGAUGAUAAAAGGUAAGUGUUACGUUUAUAUUUUGGAUUCAAGUCAGCUG